rnacentral:lncRNA from 1 species
AUAGGGCCCGCGAGUACUUCUACGAUGUCCUCUAUAUCGUUGUAUAGGUCAUAAACUAUCUGUUGUUGCCCCGUUGUGUCCUUUGCCUGGCCUUUUCCAGGCUUCCAGGGUAUCCUGUCCUCCAGUAUUUGGUCGCGGGCGACUUUCCAUCGAGGUCUCCACCAUUGCGGGGUGAGGUGCUCUGGUGGCUUCGGCGUCCCCGGUAGCACUCCGGCCGGUUCGGGUGCAGGCGGAUCACCGGCGUGGUCCCUGUCGGCGGUGUUCGGGCCGGCCCCUGCCGCCUCCGCGCCUGCGCCGGCGCGAGGGUUACGUGGCGCUACCGGCGUACAGUCGAGUCCCUUUUCUGCNNNNNNNNNNNNNNNNNNNNNNNNNNNNNNNNNNNNNNNNNNNNNNNNNNUGUGACAUCUUUGCGUUACUGAGGAAGGAAUUGCUAGAUUUGGGGUCUAACUUCGAGGCGGUGUUACGCCAUUUUUCAGUUAGUAUUGUGUCGUUGGUAUAGCCUGCGAAGGUACCUUGCUGGAGAUGCUUAUAAAGGCCUUUGUUCAGGUCAUUAACGUAAAGACCGGUGUCGCGUUGUUUCAGCCAGAACACUUUAUCGAACGGGGCAUUGUCGGCCUUUUCAGUAAAUGUUGCUGGGUUCUCACCUCGUGCGACCGAUGUUGCUCCUUUGUCAGCUUUGUCAUUACCAUCAAGGCCUGUGUGCGAUUUCACUUUCAGGAAGUGAACGGUUAUGUUCUGUUGGGCGCAUUCGUACAGUAGGUCGGCGAUGUCCAUUAGUAAGGCUUUGUGCUUGGAAAUAUGCAGUUUACUCGGAUCGUUUACUGCUCUUUUGAUAAGAUCCAGUGAGGCUUGCGAGUCAGUGGCAAUUGUUAAGGUGAUGUUCACCGCCCUUUGGGUUGAUAGAGCUACGCGUAUUGCUGCCAGCUCUGCCCGUUGAAUGGUAUUCGUACAUCCUUCGCCCGCUGGGUCGAUGUGCAGCGUUUUUCCGGUGGGUCCACAGUAUGCAGCCGCACCCAGCUUGUUCUGGCCGUCGUUUUCAGCCGAUUUAAUACAGCUACCGUCGGUCCAGAUGAUGGUGUGUGGGUCCAUCCUGAGUGGCACUUGUCCGGGAAAAGCUGCUGUCAGGCGCUGCUGGAGCGUCUGUUCGUCCGAGUGGGGGACUGUGGCGGUUGGUCUUGGUCUGGGCGGCUUUGAGGCAUUCAUCUUGCGCAUGACCUGAGCGACUUUGUUUGGGUAGGGUCGUUGGGUGCCGACGCAGUGAGUACCCGCGGACAUGUCCCGCAGUCGCAGAUGUUUUCUGGGUAGGCCNNNNNNNNNNNNNNNNNNNNNNNNNNNNNNNNNNNNNNNNNNNNNNNNNNACCGCAGUUAAGCGGGGAUGAGAACCUUUCGACGACUGGGCCGGCAUCCAGGGCGUGCAGGGCAUCAAUCAGCGUGCAGCGCAGUUUUCUGCUCAUGGUCGCCUGCGACCUUGGCGGGCCUUUCGAUUCGCGCCCGUCGGGGUCCUUUCCGUACCGCAGGAGAAGGCGCGCGACGUCCUCGGCGAAGCCGCCCUGGGAGGACAGGCUUCUGUGCACCUCCGGGUAAGUGUCGAUCGUGUGUUGGUAUCGCAUUCUGAGGGUCUCCAGGCGUUGCAGGGUGAGGGUGCCCACGCAUUUCCCUCUCGGGUCGUAGACGAAGGCCGUGUUCCCUUCGGUCGAGCCGCCCUCUCUGGUUAGCAGACCUAGCUGGAUUCGAUAAUUUCCCGUGGGGCGCGUGUCCAUGUAUGGGUUGCACGGCGUAGUCUCAAAGGUAGUGUUUGCUCGAAUAAGGCGUGCCCGCUGGGUCUGCUCCGAGGGGGGCGGGUUCCAUCGGCCUUGCCUCUGAGGGUUCGUUAGAUUGCUGUCCUUGGGUUUGGGGUAUCUCGAGAGGGGGUUCACACUCUGCGACCUCGUUUGCUCGUACCUCGCCAUCGCCGCUGGUCCGUUGGGUAACCUGCCGAGUUGCGCGGCGGGGAUAUCUGACGGUUCCCAUACCGCUCUGCGGAAGUGGCGGUCGAUCCGCGUGCCGUAAAGACCUGUCACUGGUAGUAGCUGUCUGGGCACGUAUCCCAUGCUGGCGUAUGCACCGACGAUAGAUAUCGGGGUGAUAGUGUCUUUCCAGCGAACUGUGUAGUACUGUUCGUGGGUUGCGGUCGUAUCGGCCCCGAUUUUCUGUUUCUUGGGAGGUUUAACGUUUGAGGGGACGAUGCGUUUUGUGAUAGGGCCCGCGAGUACUUCUACGAUGUCCUCUAUAUCGUUGUAUAGGUCAUAAACUAUCUGUUGUUGCCCCGUUGUGUCCUUUGCCUGGCCUUUUCCAGGCUUCCAGGGUAUCCUGUCCUCCAGUAUUUGGUCGCGGGCGACUUUCCAUCGAGGUCUCCACCAUUGCGGGGUGAGGUGCUCUGGUGGCUUCGGCGUCCCCGGUAGCACUCCGGCCGGUUCGGGUGCAGGCGGAUCACCGGCGUGGUCCCUGUCGGCGGUGUUCGGGCCGGCCCCUGCCGCCUCCGCGCCUGCGCCGGCGCGAGGGUUACGUGGCGCUACCGGCGUACAGUCGAGUCCCUUUUCUGCAAG